rnacentral:lncRNA from 1 species
CUGUGGAGGAAGUGCAGGGAGGGGGCUGAGACAACCAGGCAGCCCUGAAACUGGCAAAAAAAGCAGAAGUGAAGUAUGUGCUUGCGUGGGCCACAGGCAGGUGGUUUCCACAGGAGCUCUGCAGCGAGUUCCUGGCGGGGAGGGGUGAUCCCAGAGCAAGGUGUUGGGAGAGGACUUCAGCGCUAUCCCACAGGGAGGAGGGACCAGAGGAAGCCACCAUUGCUACCAUCCCCCCAGGCUCUGGGUGGACGACCUGACAAAUUAAUGGCAGUGCCAGCUAGGGCUAAGUUCCCAGGGCCCGGUGCUUGGACAAAGUAGAUUGAUAUAUUAGGAGCUUUUUGUGGGUUGGUUUGGCUGUAUUAGAAGGGACAUUGGUUGAAUGACCCUGCCCACUUGUGCUGGCUGGGUUCUGUCUGAUGAAUGUCUAUUUUUGUCUCCUGACAAGGGAAAUGAGGACUGUGCCCACAAUCUCUUGGAUGAACCAAAACCUUCCCUUCAAAAAGACCAGUGACAUUAUUAAAGACAGCCCAGCCAGCCCAGAUCUACCAAGAUCAGUACAGCAGAGCUUUGCUUCACUUUAAAGCUAUAAAUACCUUUUAUGGAAAGCACUAUAACCUUUAAAAUCUAAAUAAAAAUUCCAUUACAACCUCUCUAAACUAAUUCCAAAUUCCUCCUCUAACGUUGAAAGCUGUGUUCACUCUCGAGUGGCUCAGAGAAUCACAGAGGACCAGAGACUUGGCUCAAACCCUGCCAUGGGCCUAAGUUGGCUGUGUCUCCAGGCUCCUACCUCCCCAGAUUCCCAGGGGCUGCCAGCAGUCCCAGCACUGUGCCCACCACCUGUCGAGUGCAGACCAGGUCUGGGGAACAACCUUAAAAGCAAGAGAAGUUACAUCUGGAUGCUGAAAUGUGAAACUCUCAAGAUGGCUCAGGAGGCCAGGCAUCUUCUGAAGGAACAAGACUCUCAUUCCUGUGCUGCUUGUUCCUGGCCUUUGUGAAGGCCCAGUUGUCCUGCACGUAUUUGGGUUGUUCAUCAGUCCUUUGUUUCCAGGACUGUCAGGUGUGCUCUUGCUGUCGCUGCUGCCCCCCUGGCUGGGGCCCCAUUCCCAGGCAUCUUGCCUCAGCCCUAGCAUGGCGUGGGGGACUGAGCUGCCAUCUGCCACACGUAGCUCCGGAG